rnacentral:rRNA from 1 species
AAUUUUGGACAAUGGGGGCAACCCUGAUCCAGCCAUCCCGCGUGUGCGAUGAAGGCCGUCGGGUUGUAAAGCACUUUUGUUAGGGAAGAAAAGGCUCUGGCUAAUACCUGGAGUUGCUGCCGGUACCUGCCGAAUAAGCACCGGCCAACUCCGUGCCCGCAGCCGCGGUAAUACGUAGGGUGGAAGCGUUAAUCGGAAUUACUGGGCGUAAAGCGUGCGCAGGCGGUUCGGCAAGAAAGAUGUGAAAUCCCAGGGCUUAACCUUGGAACUGCAUUCUUAACUGCCGGGCUAGAGUAUGUCAGAGGGGGGUAGAAUUCCGCGUGUAGCAGUGAAAUGCGUAGAGAUGCGGAGGAAUACCGAUGGCGAAGGCAGCCCCCUGGGAUAAUACUGACGCUCAUGCACGAGAGCGUGGGUAGCAAAC